rnacentral:rRNA from 1 species
GACGAACGCUGGCGGCGCGCCUAACACAUGCAAGUCGAACGAGAGAUGAGGAGCUUGCUCUUCAAAUCGAGUGGCGAACGGGUGAGUAACGCGUGAGGAACCUGCCUCAAAGAGGGGGACAACAGUUGGAAACGACUGCUAAUACCGCAUAAGCCCACGGCUCGGCAUCGAGCAGAGGGAAAAGGAGCAAUCCGCUUUGAGAUGGCCUCGCGUCCGAUUAGCUAGUUGGUGAGGUAACGGCCCACCAAGGCGACGAUCGGUAGCCGGACUGAGAGGUUGAACGGCCACAUUGGGACUGAGACACGGCCCAGACUCCUACGGGAGGCAGCAGUGGGGAAUAUUGCACAAUGGGGGAAACCCUGAUGCAGCGACGCCGCGUGGAGGAAGAAGGUCUUCGGAUUGUAAACUCCUGUUGUUGAGGAAGAUAAUGACGGUACUCAACAAGGAAGUGACGGCUAACUACGUGCCAGCAGCCGCGGUAAAACGUAGGUCACAAGCGUUGUCCGGAAUUACUGGGUGUAAAGGGAGCGCAGGCGGGAGAACAAGUUGGAAGUGAAAUCCAUGGGCUCAACCCAUGAACUGCUUUCAAAACUGUUUUUCUUGAGUAGUGCAGAGGUAGGCGGAAUUCCCGGUGUAGCGGUGGAAUGCGUAGAUAUCGGGAGGAACACCAGUGGCGAAGGCGGCCUACUGGGCACCAACUGACGCUGAGGCUCGAAAGUGUGGGUAGCAAACAGGAUUAGAUACCCUGGUAGCCCACACCGUAAACGAUGAUUACUAGGUGUUGGAGGAUUGACCCCUUCAGUGCCGCAGUUAACACAAUAAGUAAUCCACCUGGGGAGUACGACCGCAAGGUUGAAACUCAAAGGAAUUGACGGGGGCCCGCACAAGCAGUGGAGUAUGUGGUUUAAUUCGACGCAACGCGAAGAACCUUACCAAGUCUUGACAUCCCUUGACGAUGCUGGAAACAGUAUUUCUCUUCGGAGCAAGGAGACAGGUGGUGCAUGGUUGUCGUCAGCUCGUGUCGUGAGAUGUUGGGUUAAGUCCCGCAACGAGCGCAACCCUUAUGGUCAGUUACUACGCAAGAGGACUCUGGCCAGACUGCCGUUGACAAAACGGAGGAAGGUGGGGAUGACGUCAAAUCAUCAUGCCCUUUAUGACUUGGGCUACACACGUACUACAAUGGCGUUAAACAAAGAGAAGCAAGACCGCGAGGUGGAGCAAAACUCAGAAACAACGUCCCAGUUCGGACUGCAGGCUGCAACUCGCCUGCACGAAGUCGGAAUUGCUAGUAAUCGUGGAUCAGCAUGCCACGGUGAAUACGUUCCCGGGCCU